GGUGAGUGUGGUGGUGCAUUGCCUGUAGUCCCAGCUACUCAGGAGGCUGAGGUGGGAGGAUCGCUUGAGCCCAGGAGUUCUGGACUGUAGUGCACUAUGCCAAUCAGGUGUCCGCACUAAUCUGGCAUCAAUAUGGUGACCUCCCGGGAGCGGGGGACCACCAGGUUGCCUCCGGAGGAGUGAACCGGCCCAGGUCGGAAACGGAGCCAGUCAAAACUCCUGUGAUGAUCAGUGGGAUCACGCCUGUGAAUAGCUGCUGCACUCCAGUCUGGGCGACAUAGCGAGGUCCCGUCUCU
rnacentral:SRP_RNA from 1 species